rnacentral:rRNA from 1 species
CCUACGGGGGGCAGCAGUGGGGAAUAUUGCACAAUGGGGGAAACCCUGAUGCAGCGACGCCGCGUGAGCGAUGAAGUACUUCGGUAUGUAAAGAUCUAUCAGCAGGGAAGAAAAUGACGGUACCUGACUAAGAAACCCCGGCUAACUACGUGCCAGCAGCCGCGGUAAUACGGAGGGGGCAAGCGUUAUUCGGAUUUACUGGGUGUAAAGGGAGCGUAGACGGCUGUGCAAGCCAGAUGUGAAAGCCCGGGGCUCAACCCCUGGACUGCAUUUGAAACUGUGUGGCUGGAGUGUCGGAGAGGCAGGCGGAAUUCCUGGUGUAGCGGUGAAAUGCGUAGAUAUCAGGAGGAACACCAGUGGCGAAGGCGGCCUGCUGGACGAUAACUGACGUUGAGGCACGAAAGCGUGGGGAGCAAACAGGAUUAGAUACCCUUGUAGUC